rnacentral:lncRNA from 1 species
CAGUAAAGUUAGCAAGAUAUAUGAAAAACUAAAUUCUGCUGAUCAAAUCUUUAGAGAGAAAAUCAAAAUAUGGCUCUAUCUGAAUGCCAGCAAGUGUGGUAUAAUUUUUGAUCUAUAAAUCAACUCUAACCUCACCCUCCAAGGUGGGGCAAACCUAAUCACUGAAUCCUCUGAAGUGAUUUCUUGGUUGGCUCUGGAUUCAGCAGAGGGCAGUGAUCUAGCAUGCUGCUGCCUUCUCCCAAACUGGUUUGUCCUCUUCCUGCCUUGAAGAUCAGCUGGUGGUCACAGAACUCAAGGAGAGAGGACCAGAACCUUGUCCAGCAGGCAGAGCUACUCUGGACAUUUACUGCUGUGUGCUUGCAGUGAGAAUGCUCACAAGAUUUUAUCAGCAGCUGUGCCAGGGAGGAAAAGCUCCUGCACCAAACGGUACUGUUUUCAAGGACUUUCUGUGAUCCCACAGAAAAUUUGCUGAAGAAAAAAACAUCAGGC